CAGUAGCCACGGUAAUGCGUAGGGUGCGAGCGUUAAUCGGAAUUACUGGGCGUAAAGCGUGCGCAGGCGGUUAUAUAAGACAGAUGUGAAAUCCCCGGGCUCAACCUGGGACCUGCAUUUGUGACUGUAUAGCUAGAGUACGGUAGAGGGGGAUGGAAUUCCGCGUGUAGCAGUGAAAUGCGUAGAUAUGCGGAGGAACACCGAUGUCGAAGGCAAUCCCCUGGACCUGUACUGACGCUCAUGCACGAAAGCGUGGGGAGCAAACAGGAUUAGAUACCCGUGUAGUCCCUGUCUCUUAUAC
rnacentral:rRNA from 1 species